UACGUAGGGUGCAAGCGUUAAUCGGAAUUACUGGGCGUAAAGCGUGCGCAGGCGGUUCGCUAAGACAGAUGUGAAAUCCCCGGGCUUAACCUGGGAACUGCAUUUGUGACUGCAUGGCUAGAGUGCGGCAGAGGGGGAUGGAAUUCCGCGUGUAGCAGUGAAAUGCGUAGAUAUGCGGAGGAACACCGAUGGCGAAGGCAAUCCCCUGGGCCUGCACUGACGCUCAUGCACGAAAGCGUGGGGAGCAAACAGG
rnacentral:rRNA from 1 species